rnacentral:rRNA from 1 species
UACGUAGGGGGCAAGCGUUGUCCGGAUUUAUUGGGCGUAAAGAGCGUGUAGGCGGCCAGGUAGGUCCGUUGUGAAAACUCGAGGCUCAACCUCGAGACGUCGAUGGAAACCAUUUGGCUAGAGUCCGGAAGAGGAGAGUGGAAUUCCUGGUGUAGCGGUGAAAUGCGCAGAUAUCAGGAAGAACACCUAUGGCGAAGGCAGCUCUCUGGGCUGACACUGACGCUCAUGCACGAAAGCGUGGGGAGCAAACAGG